rnacentral:rRNA from 1 species
UGCUUAGACAACCAGGAUGUUGGCUUAGAAGCAGCCACCAUUGAAAGAGUGCGUAAUAGCUCACUGGUCGAGUGACCCCGCGCCGAAAAUGUACCGGGGCUAAACAUAUUACCGAAACUGUGGAUGAACCUCUUUAGAGGUUCGUGGUAGGAGAGCGUUCUAAGGGCGGUGAAGUCAGACCGGAAGGACUGGUGGAGCGCUUAGAAGUGAGAAUGCCGGUAUGAGUAGCGAAAGAAGGGUGAGAAUCCCUUCCACCGAAUAUCUAAGGUUUCCUGAGGAAGGCUCGUCCGCUCAGGGUUAGUCGGGACCUAAGCCGAGGCCGAUAGGCGUAGGCGAUGGACAACAGGUAGAGAUUCCUGUACCAGUGCUAAUUGUUUAACCAAUGGGGUGACACAGAAGGAUAGGGAAUCGCACGAAUGGAAAUGUGCGUCCAAGCAGUGAGUGUGAGAAGUAGGCAAAUCCGCUUCUCGCGAAGCAUGAGCUGUGAUGGGGAAGGAAAUUAAGUACGGAAGUUCCUGAUUUCACGCUGUCAAGAAAAGCCUCUAGGAAGAGUAGUACUGCCCGUACCGCAAACCGACACAGGUAGAUGAGGAGAGAAUCCUAAGGUGAGCGAGAGAACUCUCGUUAAGGAACUCGGCAAAAUGACCCCGUAACUUCGGGAGAAGGGGUGCUCUAUUAGGGUGCAAGCCCGAGAGAGCCGCAGUGAAUAGGCCCAGGCGACUGUUUAGCAAAAACACAGGUCUCUGCAAAACCGUAAGGUGACGUAUAGGGGCUGACGCCUGCCCGGUGCUGGAAGGUUAAGAGGAGUGCUUAGCUUCGGCGAAGGUACGAAUUGAAGCCCCAGUAAACGGCGGCCGUAACUAUAACGGUCCUAAGGUAGCGAAAUUCCUUGUCGGGU